CUGGUGUGAUGUGUGCCCGAGUCUCAGGCACUAUCGUGAGGGUGCAGGGCCAAGGCAGGUGAUCCUGCAUGGAGACAUUCUAGGUUCAGGGACUGCCUGUGGAUCCAUGCCAAUUGCUGUGAUCAGCCAGCCCAUCCAGGAGAGAAGCUGUGACUUCCCCAAGCACACCAAGCUGUAACUCUCUGGGUCCUGUCAUUUGGGCUGAUGAGAAAGCAGCUUCCGAGGAGAGACAUGAUUCAUCCAAAGAGACGAUUCAUGUGAGAGCCAGCUUUCAGGCCAAGUAUUGAUGGGAGACAUCUGGCUGAUUGGCCAACAGCAGGUAGAGGAAGAAGGCAAGCCCAGUGAAGACAGCAUGAGGAGAGCAUCCACCUUUUGACAUUGCACACAAGCAAGGAUGACACCAUGACCAUCUUUGAAAGGGCAGAGCUGGACUUUUGCAUAACAUUAUUCAGGUUAAUGACACCUUGGUACACAUCAGUCAAUUAAAUAAUAAAUAAAAUGUAUUGACUCUUAGUCUUCAAUAACACCUCUGAGACUUGUUAAUAAUACUUGUGGAUUGAAGAUAUAUAAACAAAAUCAAUAUUUAUUGAAAAAAUGUUCAACGUUUGAGAACUUAGAUUAACCUUGUUAAUUGAUCCUAUAAAGUGUCAAAUUUUUGACUGAUUUGUUUACUUACAUGCUUGUGAAAUUCUUUGGGAUGGAUAUUGCUUCCUAAUACAAUGUUUGUAGCACA
rnacentral:lncRNA from 1 species